GGUCUGGUGGUGUAGUUGGUUAUCGCGUCAGUCUAACAUCUCGAGCGUCCCACGACGCCUGCCUGUUCACUGAAGGUCUCCGGUUCAAGUCCGGGCUAGAUCA